rnacentral:rRNA from 1 species
UACAGAGGGGGCCAGCGUUAUUCGGAAUUACUGGGCGUAAAGGGCGCGUAGGCGGCCUGCUAAGUCGAACGUGAAAUCCCCGGGCUCAACCCGGGAACUGCGUCCGAUACUGGUUGGCUUGAAUCCGGGAGAGGGAUGCGGAAUUCCAGGUGUAGCGGUGAAAUGCGUAGAUAUCUGGAGGAACACCGGUGGCGAAGGCGGCAUCCUGGACCGGCAUUGACGCUGAGGCGCGAAAGCCAGGGGAGCAAACGGG